rnacentral:lncRNA from 1 species
UGUGCAGCAGGGUCAACAACAGUAUCUUCAGUCCCUGGAAAGCAUUUUCUUGUUGAAUUUUUGUAUUCCUGGCAAUCACCACUGCUAACCUUCUCCUAAACAUGGCUUACUGGCACAGGUUGCCCAGAGAAGCUAUGGAUAUUCCAUCCCUGGAGGGAAUCAAGGAGGGGGCCCUGAGCAGCCUGAUCUAGUGAGUGGCAACCCUGACCAUGGUAGGGAGGUGGAAAGGGAUGGACUUUAAGGUCCCUAAACCAUUGUGUGAGUCUGUGAUUUUAUGUGUGACCUCACAGGGACCUCACCUCAGCAAGCAGGCUGUCACUCACUCUCCGUUUCCUUUCUGUAAACUCUCUUCAGCAUUUCUUCUGCAGUAAACAGGAUGACUUCCCUAAUGGCACUGUGGCUCCUGUAGGAUCCACUCCACUAAAUAACCAGGCUGAAAUACUGCAACAUUGCCUUCAUUCUCCCUGGGUGCCCAGAAUGCUUCUCUGCUAGUAGUAACUGCAACAUAACCAAGCUGCUCAACUCAGGAAAUGUGCCACCUGGAAAACACAGUGACUGGCAUGCCUUAGUGCUUUCCAUCCAUUUCAGCGAGUUUCUCUUCAUGCCAUUUUAAUGAAAUGCUGCGGACAACAGGGAGAGAUGACUGCCUGGGCAAGCACAGGAAAGUGUGAUAAGCAGUCAGUUUGGAUCACGACUACUCUAAGGAUGUGGUGGAACUUCACCGCUGGCUGCAGCUACUCUGGCAGCGGGCGCUGGUCCAGGCCGGGCCUUUGGUGCGGCCGGGCACAGUGCCACGGGUGGGGCAGCCUGCCACUCCUUGAGCCCAGCAAACUGCUCCUUGAGCCCAGCAAACUGCUCCUUGAGCCCAGCCUGCCACUCCUUGAGGCCGGCAUGCCGCUCCUUGGGCCCAGCUUGCCACUUCCUGGGCCUGCUGCCCGCUGGGCUGUGCUGGGCCAUGCUGGCUGUGCGAGGCUGCUUACACCAUGUGAACAGUUACUCUUAAUGGGGCUGUGCUCCUUGCCUCCUCGGUUCAGGUCUGGUUGGUCCUUUACUUUGUUUCCCUGCAGCCUGUUUUCUAGUAAAAAUUACACAUGUGAUGAGAAAUAGACAUCUUCCCAAGUGCCCCACCAGAUCUCUGUCGUGCAGAGCUUCACAGAUGGUGCUCAGCCUGCUGCCAGGUUUUCUGUGAAUGGAAGUGGUAAGUAGGCUUUGAGUGUAAAAUGUCUGCAGAGUACUUCUAAUAUCCCGCAUUACUGAGCCAUGUUUUUCAGUGGCUGUUUCUGGACCCUGAACUGCUG